rnacentral:rRNA from 1 species
UCCCAAACUGGGAUUAGAUACCCCACUAUGCUUAGNNNCCCUAAACCUAGAUAGUUAGCUCAAACAAAACUAUCCGCCAGAGAACUACUAGCAACAGCUUAAAACUCAAAGGACUUGGCGGUGCUUUAUAUCCCUCUAGAGGAGCCUGUUCUAUAAUCGAUAAACCCCGAUAAACCUCACCAUCUCUUGCUAAUUCAGCCUAUAUACCGCCAUCUUCAGCAAACA